AAAACAACGAGGAACCACAAGUAAACGGUAGCAAGAUGCUCCUGCAUCAUAUUCGAGUACUGCAAAUUAUUGAAUUUCCUUUUUUUUAAUGAUUUGUUUGUAUAAUUAUUUGUUUGUAUUGGGCUGCAUUGUGAGAAAGACAAGAG
rnacentral:ribozyme from 15 species